rnacentral:lncRNA from 1 species
AGGUUCGAAUCAAUGGGAUCAUACUCAAAAAAAAUUUCUGACUGAUCAUGUGCUUGAUCAAUGAUUGAGAAUCAUUCAAGGGUAUAAUCAUAAAUUCAAUUGAUGAUUAACUAUGUGCAAAAGUUACAAUAAAUUAAUUCGCUAACUGUUAGUGAAUUAAUAGAGGAUAAAUUAGUAAUUAGAUUACUGAUUACCUCAAUUUGAUUGAGCAAUGAGGUUUGAAUCAAGUUUAAUUGAAUUGGAU